CUGGUCUCCGUGCGAGAUACGCUGCGUGCGGCCGGAAUUAGCGGCAUGGUUGAACAGCGCCGCGGUCGGUGGAGGUCCGAGGAUGCGAGCGAUUCUGUUGAAGGAGCUGCUACGCAGACUGGCAAGGAGGGCCCACCUGUAAGUGCUCGGUUCGACGCGCACACGAAGAUCCGUGUUGGCUGGUGCGCGCGGGCGUCCACACCCCCCAGUGCACGUUCUACCGCCCGUGCAUUCCUCCCGCAUCCCGCCCCGCCCGCGGUCGCACCCCGCCCCGCAUCCCGCGACCUUCCUUCAACGACGCAAUCUAGGCGCAAUUCCCGCUCCCACCAUAUCGGCCUCGCUCGCGCAAGGUUCCGGGAAAGGUUUCCAUCGUUGGCGAAGCACCAACCUCCAUCCUUCUCCACGCUCUCCUGGAAGACUACCAUCCAUGGUUUACGGAGAAAUCGUGCCUCCCCAGUGUGCCCUUCCAUCUAUGGCGUCGCCGCGACCUCCCCCGCAAUCAACUCCAUUGCCCCGCGAUCCCCUUCCCCGAUGGCACUCACCUUCCAUCGAUGGGAGCGCGCUGGGUUCUGCCAUAUACUUUCUUCCUCCAUUCCACCGACGGCACUCACCCUAAACCCUCACCUCUUAGAUCCUGCCCCUCGCUCGCCGCCCAAUCAAGUCCUAAGCCUUUGCCGCCCCAGCCGAGCAGAGGUGGAGGCGUCUGCCUCCACACACCUCGCCCUCGCCACCACCUCCCUUCCCACUGUCCCUAGAGAAGACACGGAGGUGCAGUGCCAGUGCUUCUACUCAAGUGCGCCACGAAUUAUUGAGCCAGCGGCCAGAUUGGGACGAAUUCAGCAUUCAUCGGCUCCACCAAAGCCUGUUGUUUCGGCUAGCGAGGGGGUGCAAAAGAAGGAAGGGAGAGGCGCUUGGUUGACCCGGACCGGACGACAGGACACCGCCAGGGGGUUCGCUGCAACGCAGCGACGACUUCCGCAGCUUCUCAGGCCAAGCUCUUCAUGUGGCCUCUUUCUUUUGAACUAUAUCGAAUACUGGACAGGGGAUGAACUAUCUGACAGUUUUACCCAGGAUGACAUGUCACACUUUAGGAAAAAAAUGGCUGCUAUAUUACUACCUUCAGACCUGAAUAAGAGAAGGGGGUGUCUGUUAUACAAAAAUGAAAAAGAAGUUGACUCUGGAAGCCCAUCAGAUGUUGAGAUAUUAGAAAACCCAAUAGAUUCUAAUAAGAGGAAACUACUCCACGUGCUUGAUGAUAGCGAAGUAGUGUAUAAAGAUCAGGAAGGCCCUAUUACUCAAGCAGACUUGCAAAGGUGGUUUGUUGAUGAUUGGGAUAAAAGAGCUCCUGUAAAAGUCUCUACCGAUGGGUGCACCAAUGACUUUUUAAUGGUUGGCCUUUCCACAAAGGACAUGCCAGUGACCAAAGCCGAUUCAAUAGAUGUUUUAUGUGAUUAUAUCAUGGCAAUAGAAGACGAUACGACACUAGAGUAA
rnacentral:misc_RNA from 1 species